UUCGAGAUUUUCAAAGAGAACAAUAUAUGAUUUUUCAAUACGAAUAUUUCUUAAAACUUUAAAAACUGUGCACAUAACUGAAGUAACAUUUACAAUGCCAUAAAAAAGCUGGCAGUGUGACCAGCUUUAGUGCUGACCUACCCCAAAGCUUAGAGCAGCACUUAACCUAGAAAGUUGAUAAAAACAAAAAAAGAGGAGUAAAGCCCAGCUGUGGCUGUGGCUGUGGCUGUGGCUCAGGCUGUGGCUUAUGUGCUUGCCUGCUGAUAAGCCUUAUAAUGGCUCCAUAUGCAAGCGGCAAACACAACAACAAACUACAAUGAACCAACAAACGCAGAACUGAAAGCGCGGCAACCAACAUAAGUUAUCAAAAGUAAUUAUCAAACAAACAGCGAGAACAACAGCAACAACAACAAUACAACCAAAACAACAACAAUAGACACAAAGACAACGUUAGUUUCGAAACAAUGCCACUGCGAAGCUUCUGUGCCGGUGUGAGUGCGGUUGUGCGUCGAGAGUGCAAAGGCUUUCGGGGCGUGGUCAUGCAACAUGAGUGAGUCAAGCGUUAAUUAAGUCUGACAACAAAUGGCCAACGCGCCCGAAAGUGCACUCGAAAAACUAGAAUCUGGUAUCUGGAAAUGUGAAGCUUGGUUUGGCCAGGCAACAAACAAAAAAAAAAGGAAUGCUAGAAAACACACGGCACUGCAUAAGAAGAAAUGUGAGAAAUUUUUAACUAUUAUUCCUUGCUUAUAACAAUUUUACUAUUAUUUGAGCUGGGUCUGGGUCCAGGUCUACCUGAGCAAGGUGCUUCAUUUAGGUCCGAAUUUCCAAUACAAAAUAUGGCAAAAUUGUCUGAGACAGUUUAGGGAAUAUAAACAUAUUAUUACCAACUAUUAUAAUAGAUAAAAUCACACUUAAAGCGAUUGCAGAAAAAUCGGAAAAUAUACAUUUAUUUUAAUA